rnacentral:rRNA from 1 species
CGCCUGCCCUGUGACAAAUGUUUAACGGCCGCGGUACCCUAACCGUGCAAAGGUAGCGCAAUCACUUGUCUUUUAAAUGAAGACCUGUAUGAAUGGCAUGACGAGGGCUUAACUGUCUCCUUUUUCUAAUCAAUGAAAUUGAUCUUCCCGUGCAGAAGCGGGAAUAUAGCCAUAAGACGAGAAGACCCUAUGGAGCUUUAGACACAAGACAGAUCUUGUUAAACACUUCAAAAAAGAAACGAACUAAAAGGACUCUGUCCUUUUGUCUUUGGUUGGGGCGACCACGGGAAGACAAAUAACCCCCACGCGGACUGGAAAAACAGUUCUCAAAACCAAGAGCUACAGCUCUAGUUAACAGAAAUUCUGACCUUAAGAUCCGGCACUGCCGAUCAACGGACCGAGUUACCCUAGGGAUAACAGCGCAAUCCCCUUUUAGAGUUCAUAUCGACAAGGGGGUUUACGACCUCGAUGUUGGAUCAGGACAUCCUAAUGGUGCAGCAGCUAUUAAGGGUUCGUUUGUUCAACGAUUAAAAUCCU